GACGUAGGUGGCGAACGUUAUCCGGAAUUAUUGGGCGUAAAGGGUGCGUAGGCGGCAUGAUAAGUUAUUGGCGGUAAAUCGAGGCUCAACCUCGUGGAAACUGAUAAUACUGUUUUGCUUGAGUACAGGAGAGGUUAACGGAACUCCAUGUGGAGCGGUAAAAUGUGUAGAUAUAUGGAAGAACACCAAUAACGGCGAAGGCAGUUAACUAUUCUGUUACUGACGCUGAGGCACGAAAGCGUGGGGAGCAAAACGG
rnacentral:rRNA from 1 species